UUUGACCUCAAAUCAGGUAGGACUACCCGCUG
rnacentral:rRNA from 2 species